rnacentral:rRNA from 1 species
GAUGAACGCUGGCGGCGUGCCUAAUACAUGCAAGUCGAGCGAACAGACGAGGAGCUUGCUCCUCUGACGUUAGCGGCGGACGGGUGAGUAACACGUGGAUAACCUACCUAUAAGACUGGGAUAACUUCGGGAAACCGGAGCUAAUACCGGAUAAUAUAUUGAACCGCAUGGUUCAAUAGUGAAAGACGGUUUUGCUGUCACUUAUAGAUGGAUCCGCGCCGCAUUAGCUAGUUGGUAAGGUAACGGCUUACCAAGGCAACGAUGCGUAGCCGACCUGAGAGGGGGAGCGGCCACACUGGAACUGAGACACGGCCCAGACUCCUACGGGAGGCAGCAGUAGGAAAUCUUCCGAAAGGGGCGAAAGCCUGACGGAGCAACGCCGCGUGAGUGAUGAAGGUCUUCGGAUCGUAAAACUCUGUUAUUAGGGAAGAACAAAUGUGUAAGUAACUAUGCACGUCUUGACGGUACCUAAUCAGAAAGCCACGGCUAACUACG